rnacentral:rRNA from 1 species
UCAUAUGCUUGUCUCAAAGAUUAAGCCAUGCAUGUCUUAGUACAUACUUCCUGUAACAAAGUGAAACCGCAAAUGGCUCAUUAAAUCAGUUACGUUCGUCAAGAACUUAUCUCGCUUACAUGGAUAACUGUGGUAAUUCUAGAGCUAAUACAUGCCUCGUGUGCUGAGUGUUGGCAAUUUAAGGAGGGGGCUUGCUCUCUCUGGUCACGCAUCUCGGCUGCUUUUAUUAGACCAUGGCUUCGGCCUGUUGGUGACUCUAGAUAACAGUACGGAGGGUGUUCCUUUCGGGGGGCUCCUCUGGCUCAUCACCGGCUUGCCGGUGAGAGUAUCUUGCGAGUGUCUGCUCUAUCAGCUUUGGAUGGUAGGUUAUACGCCUACCAUGGCUGUAACGGGUAACGGGGAAUCAGGGUUCGAUUCCGGAGAGGGAGCCUGAGAAAUGGCUACCACAUCUAAGGAAGGCAGCAGGCGCGCAAAUUACCCAAUGCCAGAACGGCGAGGUAGUGACGCAAAAUAACAAUGCAGUCCACCCUUGUGGUGACUGUAAUUGGAAUGAGAGGAGUGCAAAGACCUUGCCGCAAGGCAUCGCCUAGUAGCACGAGCAUCAAUUGGAGGGCAAGUCUGGUGCCAGCAGCCGCGGUAAUUCCAGCUCCAAUAGCGUAUAUUAAAGUUGUUGCGUUUAAAAAGCUCGUAGUUGAAACUACCGGGCGGGUGAGAGGUAAAAACUGGGUACGGUUGGUAGCCGAAAGGUUCCCCUCCAGUCUCUCCCUGCCUAAGGUCUUCGGACCGUUAGAGAAGGGACGUACAGGCUUGGGGCCUUGUGUCACUGUUAGCCCUGUUGUUCCCGCUAUUACUCUGAAUAAUUCAAAAUGCUCAAAAUAGGGCCGUGUGCCCUUUGACUGAUCUUGCAUAGAAUAAUGAAAUAAGAUCCCUCGGGAUGUCUUCUUUCGUUGGUCUUCCAAUGUCUGAAUCACCCCAGCUUGCUGGGAUAAUGAUUAAUAGGGACAAACGGGGGCAUUAGUAUUACGGGGCUAGGGGUGAAAUCCGUUGACCCUCGUAAGACUUCCAAAAGCGAAAGCAUUUGCCAAGAAUGUUUUCUUUAAUCAAGAACGAAAGUUAGAGGUUCGAAGGCGAUCAGAUACCGCCCUAGUUCUAACCAUAAACGAUACCAACCAGCGAUCAGGGGUUGUUAGUAAGUUAGUCGGAACAGGGGGAUGCGUAAGUGUCCUCCCCGACCAAACAACAUUCCUGGAAGCUUCCUUUCACUUUCACGCGGGAAACCAAGUGAGUGUGCCGGUUACGGGGGAAGUAUGGUUGCAAAGCUGAAACUUAAAGGAAUUGACGGAAGGGCACCACCAGGAGUGGAGCCUGCGGCUUAAUUUGACUCAACACGGGGAAACUCACCCGGCCCAGACACUGGGACGAAUGACAGACUGACGCAAGUAGGGGGUUUCGGCCCUUAUACUAUAGAUAGCUCUUUCUUGAUUCAGUGAGUGGUGGUGCAUGGCCGUUCUUAGUUGGUGGAUUGAUUUGUCUGCUUAAUUGCGAUAACGAACGAGACUCUAUCCUUUCUAGUGUAGAAGCGGGCAUGGUGUGGAACCUUCGGGUUCCUUCACAUCUGCUUGCCUCGACUCUCGGGUCUUGGCUCGGCUUUCUACUAGAGGGACUACUAGUGGAACCUUUCGGGGUGAAACUAUGAGAAAGAAGAGCAAUAACAGGUCUGUGAUGCCCUUAGAUGUCUGGGGCCGCACGCGCGCUACACUGAGGUGAUCAGCGUGCGUAUGUGAGUGGUUGGUAGCAAUACCAGCCCAAGUCCUGAGCCGAAACGUUUGGGAAAUCAUCCUCAAAUCACUUCGUGAUUGGGAUUGGGCACUGUAACUGUGCCCAUGAACGAGGAAUUCCCAGUAAGGACAAGUCAUUAGCUUGUCCUGAUUACGUCCCUGCCCUUUGUACACACCGCCCGUCGCUACUACCGAUUGAAUGACUUAGUGAGGUCUACGGACGAGUGGACAGCGGAGCCUUUCGGGGUUCUGCCGUCUGUUUGAAAGUGGCCCAAACUGCUUCAUUUAGAGGAAGUAAAAGUCGUAACAAGGUUUCUGU